ACAUGCCUACAACAUAAUACUAAUGCACCAUAUCCCAUUAAAACUCUGUAGUUAAGCGUGCUCGGGCUAGAGUAGUAUUGGGAUGGGUGACCGCCCAGGAAGUCCUAUUGUUUUACAUGCC
rnacentral:rRNA from 1 species